ACCGGGACUUGGGGAGCGAGGGAUGCAACAUGGUGCAUCUGGGAGGCCUGCUAACUGGCUAACUUCUCCGGCGUUCCUCCCGGCCGAGGCGUGGGCACAGAAUAGCGCAGGUGAGGCCCAGAUAUGGUGUCUCGAUACGGCGCGGAAGGUAAGCGACCCCCGGGCCGGCGGGUCGGGGAAUGGUGCUGACCUUGGAGGCCUCGGUCCGCCACGCCGCCCUUGAGCCUAAGGUCGCCGAACGACCGCCGCCCCCCACCCCUCCACUUCCGCCUCAGCAUGGCCACCCUGACUCGACUACCUGCACUGCAUGGUUCACCGACCUGUGAGCCCACGGAUCUGGCUGUGAGCCCAGCCUUCGGCAUCACAACUCAUUCCUUCCUCCAGCGCCGGUGCAUCUCGGGCCAUUCAUUCCCUGCGCCUUCCAGCAUCUGCUCCUCCAGCUUUUGCAGAUCAUGGCAGGGGCGCCUGCCCAGCCCCCCCCCCCCCCCCCACCACCACCACCACCACCGGGAUGCGGUUCUCCAGCUUCCUCUCGCUGCUCAUCCCAGGUGCACCGGUUUCUGCCUCUGCCUUGUUCUCAGACAUUCGGAGUCAGUAUCCCAAGGCAAUGUUUUCCUCGCUUCUUUUUCCUCGUUACUUUUCCUUUAUAUGCAGGGCACCUCUCCUCACGUGUAGGUGCUCUGUUCACACUUCUGAGUGCUGUUAAAAUAGCAGUCCGGGUAGACAGAGAGGGGCACUUCUCUCAGUUUGGAAGCACUUUCUUCCUGGGGCUGGUUUGGAAAGCUCAGACCAUCCUGUAAGAAGUUCCUUUAUUGUUUACAAAACAUGUCUAGGAUUUUACUGCUUUCUUUCGACCAGGUAUAAUGUAGAAUGGUAUGUAGAUAAAAAUAGGGACACAUAAUAUAAAGGAUUUGUAACUUUUAAGGAGUAUGUAAUAACUCUUAGUUUUUGCCUGGAGAAUGCGUGUUCCUCCUUUGCGUAGAAUAAGACAUACCUUAAUCUAGUUCCUAUGGAGUGCACAUUAGCUCAGUUUAACGUUACCUCGAUGGGCUUUCUAAAUGUUUGAGUCUGUUAUCUCACACUGACUGGGCUUUGCCCAGGGAAAUACUGCUAGAAUCUGCCCUUCCUGUGCGGCCUGUCCUGGACACUUGGAAGGUUACCUGAAUGAAGCCCUCCAUCCAAGAAUUCAGUCUACUAGAGUGCACUCAGCUUACUGCUUAGCCUAGUUAUUUGCCAUUUUUCCUGAAUUACUCUUGUUUUCUUUUUUUGUGUCUUUUAGGUCAGUAUGUACCUCGUUUUGUAUAUUGUCUUGAAACUUUACUCCUUUGUAUGGUAAUUAAUGCAUAUUUGUUCACUUUUUAAAAGGUGGGAUUCACCUUAAAGAUUAAUUUCUAUGAUUCUCAGGUAGAAAAAUACAAAUUUUCAAAGCUAAUGUGCUUAAAUAUGUAACUUCAUUCCUUUCAUCCCAAUUGAAAACUAACAUUCUAAAUAGUGAGAAAAAACUUCUCAACAACCAAUCACUGCUAAUAAGUUCCAAUGACGACAUAUACCUAUAGAGUCAAACAUACACCCUUCAAUAGCUUUUGAAGUGGAAAGAUCAAAGACUUAGAUAUGGGUUUGAAUUAUGUCUCUGCUGGUUGUAUGACUUUGAGCUUUUCAUUCAUAGUUUGAAGACAUCAUUUUCCAGUUUUGGAGCCGACUAAUGAACUAGUUCUUAAGUGAAAGGCAUUUAACACGACUGUGCAUCUACAGGUACUAGGUUUCCAAGAUGCCUUUCCAGACUAAAACCCACACAUGUGAGCCGCUGGCCGGACAAACAUCUGGCACCUAACGUGGGGCUGAAAAACAGCAGAGGACAUUUGGAAGAAACACUGCUGGUUUGGAGCUCCAUAGAAGAAGAAAAUAAUUAAAGGAAAUUCAUACCAGAGAAGGUCAGUAUGGGCUAAGCUGAAACAGCGUUUAACCUGAGCGCUAAUUCGCUUAGGUUCAGCAGUGAGGCAUCUCAGGAGCUAGGAACGUAACAGGCGGUUAGCCAUAGCUCCCAGAAGCUACAUUUUUAGGCGUGAGAAAAGAAAGGGUUUAUUAAAAGGAAAUUAAUAAUAAGGCGGACUGCAUCAUGCGGGAGGAAAAUGUCCCAAAAAGCAGAGAGAAAUUUCCGGAGUGCCAUGCUUUGUUCUCUCUGGGCUUUACAGCAGAAAUACUCUGCCCCUUUUGUGUCUUGUCUAAUGUCUGGUGCACUGAAAGACCCACAACAUGAGGACUCCCCCACGUUCUGACUCAGGAGAGGCGACACCCCAAACCACUCACAAGAAACGGUCUUGCUGCAAACUGCAAGAGGAUUUUUAUUCAAGAGCGCUCUCAGGCCCACGGUCAUACACCACACAGGGGUAGAGGACUUUCGCGUCCUGAGUUGCUGGGAAAGGGGGUAUUUAAAGGAAGAAACCACAACUCAAGGAAGUGGGGAGGGCGUUGUUGGAAAAUACAAAGAUACCAGUUAAGAGUCCCAAGGAAGUGCAAACUCACAAGAGUCACAAGGAAUACCUGGAAAUUUUGCAGGUUAUCUCUCAAGACAGUUUCUAAGAGGCCCUAACAAUAGCACAUUUGCAUAGUGGGUUCCGCCAAUGGUCAGGGUGACUUUCUUUGAAUGAACACUCUUUGAACCCAGGAAGCAGGUGGGUAGAGGAAUGUCACUAUCUGUUUUAUGAUUAGCAUACCUUGGAGCAUUAAGUCACAGAGGUCACAUUCCCAAGCCUGGGCCUAAAGGCCUAGAAUUUUGUUUUUAUGUUAUACUUUCAGCACCAAUCUGUUCACAUGUUCAAUUCAUGUAUGUUUGUGUCCAGUCUGUAUGAAUGAAUGUUCUAUGUUUUAUGUUGGAUAAUAAAGAUGGCAAAAAAAAUAAAAAACUUUAUCUGCAAAGCCGAGAGCUGCCACGUGCUACAACCAGGAAACAGACACAUGGCAGGAGGGCCCCUGCUGAAAAAACUGUUAUAGGAAAAAAGGGCGAGUCUACAGCCUCUCAGUUUCGGGGUAAAAAAAGCUGAUGAAUGUUUUUUUCCUGGAGGGUUCUCUACAAUCGUGAUUAAUAUGUUUGGCAAAUGAUAAAGUGCUUUUUAUUCCAUGAUUGUAGCUAGAAAAAUUAAUAUUCUCUGAUUGGUCUAAAUGUAACUGCUUCAUUUGGUUUUUUUAUUGGUAAUGUGCUCUGCGUGUUUUCACUAUCAGGUCAUAAGUUAUGGGUUAAGAUUAAUAAUUGUUACAUUGCUACAGAUGGUUAGUCUUAAAAUUGAUAACUCAAGUUUAAUGUCUUUCCAACACAUGGCAUAAGGCAGGCCGAGAGGCUGGGUCUCUAAAGAUAUUUCUAGUUAAGAUAAUAAUUAAUGUGGUUCCUAUCCUAGAAAGUAGAAUUUAAGAUAAGAGUUAAAGCAAUGUCUCUUUAUUAAAGCAUUAAAGCUUACAUGUAUUCAUAGGUAUUAAUUGGCAGCCAGGCUUCGUAAUAUGAUAGAAAUGCUUCUAAUAUUAAUUCUAUGAGUAAUAAAUUGUUUUAAAAUUAGGCUUUACUUUCCCAAAGUUAAUGUUGCAAAAGAAACUUAAUAAUUCUUUACAGAUCUAGCCAGAUGCUGUUUUAAUGAAGUUCAAGUUCAUAGUUUGUAAAGAGUCAAUCAGACCGUAAAAUUUAUCAAGGCAUUACAGUCUGGUUUGCCUACCUUUUAUAUAGUUAUUUUAAAUCCGAAGGUUUGUUUCUUUUUCUCUCUCCUUUGCAUCUUAAUGAUUGUAAAGGUUUGGCCUCUAGUGAGUUUGUAAUAACCUAAAUAUUUUGCCUCUAAUAUGGCUAAAUAUUGAUCUACAUUAUGUAAAAAUUUUUUAUCAUUUCUGCUUCUAUACAAGAAGCCAAAAUUUUUUAAUCUUUCAAUGUAUAUUUUUUCCUAAGUGAAAAAUGUUUUAUUAACUAAUGCUUCUCAAGGGAAGUUUACUUUAAAUCUUUGCUCUCACCCAAAAGAUUCAGAGACAAUAUCCUUUUAUUACUUAGGGUUUUAGUUUACUACAAAAGGUUUUACAAAAAAUAAAGAAAGCUUUUAUAGUUGUUGUUAACUAUAUUCAUUGGCAAUUAAAUAUUAGCUGUGCCCAAGACAAUUCCUUGGCCAGAAAAAACAUUGUAAAGUCAUUUUUCUGAUCCUUCCAGCCGAUCCUUGGCCCAUGUGAGCCCAGCUAGCUGCUGGCUGCUGUGGGGCGGGGCCUUGAGACACACAGUUUCCCCCUGUUUCAGCACAAAUAAUCUAGUUGUGUGCUGUAGAUGGUGUUUUAAAAUACUGAACAAUCAAUCCUUAAUUUGUAUAUUGAUAGUCAAUGCUAUAUCUCAGAGCUCACAAUUGCUUAAGAUUGUCCGUCCCUCAGAUACUAUUAAUUCUCAAAUUUGCAAUUGCUUAUGCAUAUAUAACUCAUAGAAAAAAAUGCUGUCCUUUUAAGAAGACGGUUUUUAGACAUUUAUUAAAUUGUCCUAAUUGCCUGGACAUUUUAAAACAAUGCCAGGAUAAAUUUAUAUCUCAGACAGUCUAUAGAUCGUCCAUAUAAAAUAGAUUGGAUAUAUAACCUUGUUCUUUAUAUAUUCAUAACAGUUAUGGUUUAAGAUAAUGUUUUAGUAUUCUUAAAAAUUGUGCAUGUAUAAUUCUUUCUUUUUAGUGUCCUCAGUUAUUACUUGUUUCCACAUAAUAGUGUUAAUUCUUGAGGACUUUUACUUAAUAAUUUGCGACAAAUAAAUGCUCUUAUUUCUAGUU
rnacentral:lncRNA from 1 species